rnacentral:rRNA from 1 species
GAUGAACGCUAGCGGCAGGCUUAAUACAUGCAAGUCGUGGGGCAGCAUGAGUAGCAAUACUUGAUGGCGACCGGCAAACGGGUGAGGAACACGUACACAACCUUCCUUCAAGCGGGAAUAGCCCAGAGAAAUUUGGAUUAAUACCCCAUAAUAUAUUUGAUAAAGGCAUCUUAUUAAAUAUUAAAGGCUUCGGCACUUGAUGAUGGGUGUGCGGCUGAUUAGAUAGUUGGCGGGUAACGGCCCACCAAGUCUACGAUCAGUAGCUGAUGUGAGAGCAUGAUCAGCCACACGGGCACUGAGACACGGGCCCGACUCCUACGGGAGGCAG